AGAUUUAAAAAUAAUUAUGUGUCGUGGUUUGAUAAGAAAACGCUUGUACAAGAGUGUUGUCAAAAAUCUUGAUAUUUAGCUCAAAGAAUUAAAUCGUGGUCAAGACAUUCACAUCACGGAACUUUUACGAACCGUGGAAGAGUAUGCGCGGUAUAAUGGACAAGAAUAAUUGACGCUUUGAAAUUGAAGGGUGGGGUCAGGAAAAAUACGAGUCGCGACAUAUUUAUACAGACGUUCAAAUAUUCAGCAGACGCGGGAAUGGAGGAUGUUUACACUGUUUGUAAAGGAAAUGAAAUGUCAUGUUGGCGGACGAGCGCAGUUAUGCUCCAACUCACGAAGGGGAAGUACCACCGUGGACGUGUUAUUUCUUUUUUCUCGGGACCUCAUCUUUCAAGUGCAAACGCGACUCGCGUGCCCUGACAGAUGCGAGGAGAUUGGGAAUGGUAGAGGUACUGUGGAGCACCCUUAGUCAGGGGCGCGGAAACCAUCAGCUUACUUAUACGCACAUUAUAUAAGAUGGACCGAAAAUCGUGGUUCAAACGUGGUCAAACGUGCAAAUUCUGUGACUCAGAAUAAGACGAAGAUCGAAAAUAACAAAACUGAAUUGACUGAUUUUAUUUUCGAGAAAAUCGAUCGUGUUUAAUCCAAAUCUAACGUCGGUACACGUA
rnacentral:misc_RNA from 1 species